UGGGGAAUAUUGGACAAUGGGCGAAAGCCUGAUCCAGCCAUGCCGCGUGUGUGAAGAAGGUCUUCGGAUUGUAAAGCACUUUAAGUUGGGAGGAAGGGCAGUAAGCGAAUACCUUGCUGUUUUGACGUUACCGACAGAAUAAGCACCGGCUAACUCUGUGCCAGCAGCCGCGGUAAUACAGAGGGUGCAAGCGUUAAUCGGAAUUACUGGGCGUAAAGCGCGCGUAGGUGGUUCGUUAAGUUGAAUGUGAAAGCCCCGGGCUCAACCUGGGAACUGCGUCCAAAACUGGCGAGCUAGAGUAGGGCAGAGGGUGGUGGAAGUUCCUGUGUAGCGGUGAAAUGCGUAGAUAUAGGAAGGAACACCAGUGGCGAAGGCGACCACCUGGGCUCAUACUGACACUGAGGUACGAAAGCAUGGGGAGCAAACAGG
rnacentral:rRNA from 1 species